UCAUGGGUUGCGCGUCGGUGCUCGCAACCAUGACAAACUGGUGCGAUCCAUCGUGUUCGAGGGAGGUCAUUUAGCCCAACCAAACUGGCCCAACCAAACUGGCCCAGUGAUUUGAGAGAUUAAAAGCCCAUCUCAAGAGCCUGAUAGAAAUGGGAAGUGUUCUAGAAGAUAUAAUUAUGGAAUCUUAGAGUUCUAUUUGUAUAUAGCUGGUUAUGUAAGCUUAGAGUUCUAAUUAUAUUCAGCUUUUAAUUAUAGCUAUUGAUAUACUGUGAGGCUCAACUAUAAAUAGAGACCUCUUUGCUCAUUGUAUAUUCAUUGAGUUAUUAAUAAGAAUUUUGAGAGUAUUCACUCAAACUUUUCUCUCAAGUGUUCUUGCUUUUGUUCAUCUUUCAAGGCUCGUUCUUACUUCGUUCUUCUGUUGUUCUUCGUGAAAAUCUUAAGGGAAUUCUAUUGAAUCUUUUUUUUGUUACAAGUUAGGCUGACUUAGGCGUUUUGAGCAGAGAAACUGCCUAAGGCCGCACGGAUCGCGUGGGAAAACUCUAAGUCCGUGACAGUUGGUAUCCGAGCUAAGGUUCGAAGCCACCGUUGAAAGAUGUCAAAAGAAGUUGAGGGAAUGGAGACCCGUGGGAGGGCUAGGAAAGCCAGUCGCUCAAGGGACAUAUUGUCAGCUUUAGAGGAUCGCGUCGUCACUCUCGAGAGUUCAAUGGGGGAUAUCAAGGAGAGGGUUGAAGAUGUUGAUGAUAGGCUCCAUGAUGGACUGCAGUCCAUGCAGGAGCAGCUUAAAGAGUAUGUGACGGAUAAUAUGAAACAGUUGACUGGUAGAGAUGAUGCCAUUGAGGCUAUGGUGGUGGCCUUGAAGGGAGAGAUUGCGGAGCUCAAGGGUGAACUCACAAUCUACAAGGUUGCCUUGGGCAAUGGUGGGUUAGCAGCUGCCGCACCCAAGCCCAAUAUUGAUGUUCCCAAGCCAAAAGAGUUUAAGGGAACAAGGUCCGCAAGAGAUGUGGACAACUUUUUGUGGGGAAUCGAGCAAUACUUCUGUGCCAAAGGCAUCACGGAGGAUGUCACUAAGGUAACUACUGCUGCGAUGUAUUUAUCUGACGUUGCUUUGUUGUGGUGGCGUCGUAGGUCCACUGAUGUGAGACGUGGUGGGUCUGAAAUCGAAACAUGGGAGGAGUUUCGAUGUGAGUUCAAAGCACAGUUUUACUGAGAGUAUGCCGAGGAUGAGGCUCGGGCAAGGUUGCGUCGGCUUACGCAACAAGGCACUGUGAGGGAGUAUGUACAGGAGUUUAGCGAGCUUAUGCUCCAAAUCUCAGAUAUGGGGGAGAAAGAGGCAUUCUUUUCCUUUAUGGACGGAUUAAAACCGUGGGCGAAGCAAGAGUUACAGCGCCGAGGAGUUCAAGAGCUCACCAAGGCUAUGUCAGUAGCAGAAUCACUUGCUGAAUUUGGUGGGAGGAAAGACAAUUCCAAUUCUUCUAAACCCAGAUUAAAGGGUAAUAGUGGGGGAGAUAAAGAAAGGCCCACUAGGAACGGCGAUGGUAAGAAACCUUGGGACAAGAGAAAGAGUGGGCCUAUAAGGUGCUUCCACUGUGAGGGUCCACAUAUGAUCAAGGACUGUCCAAAGAAGGCCGCUCUCAAGGCUAUGGAAGCAAAGGGGGAGUCCGAUGUGGAGGAUAACAACCUUGGAUCGAUACUAGGGGGUGUCGAAGAUAGAAUGAGCCAUGGUUUGAUGUUUGUAGACAUCAUUGUGGCCGGCAGAAAUUUGAAUGCGCUCGUCGACACAGGCGCUUCUGAUUUAUUCAUGUCUGAGGAGGCUGCUUGUAAACUAGGCCUCAAGAUAGAUAAUGAAGGGGGUCGGAUCAAAACAGUGAACUCGAAAAGUAUUCCAAUCAAGGGGGUUGCAAAAGGAGUGGAUCUUCAGCUCGACAAUUGGUCAGGGAAGGUAUCCAUUAAGGUAAUACCACUUGAUGACUAUGAUUUUGUGGUUGGACUAAGCUUCCUUGAUCAGGUUAAAGCUCUUAUUGCCCCUUCGAGCAAUUACAUGGUGAUUUCAGAUGCGAAACAUCAAUGCAUGGUGAAAGUGACAAGGAAGAGAAGCUUUGAGGGAAAAACACUAUCAGCAAUUCAGUUUGCUAAAGGUGUAUGGAGAAAUGAAGUCUCAUAUUUAGCCACCUUGAAGAUCGAAGAGACCGCUGAGUUUGUUAGUGAGACCCCGAAAGAAGUGGGACAAUUGCUACAAUCAUUUUGAGAUGUAAUGCCUGCUCAGUUGCCAAAAAAGUUUGCCACCCAAGAGGGAGGUGGACCACAAAAUCGAGUUAGUAUCCAAUGUGGUGCCGCCAGCAAGGGCCCCCUAUCGUAUGUCUCCGCCAGAAUUAGAAGAGUUGCGGAAACAAUUGAAGGAACUUUUGGAUGCGGGAUUCAUUAGACCAUCUAAAUCCCCAUAUGGUGCGCCAGUGUUGUUCCAAAAGAAACACGAUGGGUCCUUAAGAAUGUGCAUUGAUUAUCGACCUCUAAACAAGAUCACCGUGAAUAAUAGGUAUCCUAUUCCUCUUAUCGCAGAUUUGUUCGACCAGCUUGGUAGUGCAAGAUGGUUUACCAAGUUAGAUUUGAGAUCGGGGUAUCAUCAAGUUUGGAUAGUCGAGGGGGACGAACCAAAGACAGCUUGUGUGACACGGUACGGUUCGUAUGAGUUCCUUGUGAUGCCUUUUGGACUCAUGAAUGCUCCAGCUACAUUCUGCACCCUAAUGAAUAAGGUACUUCAACCCUUUCUUGAUCGUUUUGUGGUUGUUUACCUUGACGAUAUUGUGGUCUAUAGCAAGUCACUUGAAGAGCACGUAAGACACUUGAGGGAGGUGUUCCAGACUUUGAGGGAAAAUGAGUUGUUCGUCAAGGAGGAGAAAUGCUCAUUUGCCCAACAAGAGGUGUCAUUCUUAGGCCACAUUGUGGGAGGCGGUAAGAUCCGAAUGGAUAAAAAUAAGAUUCGAGCCAUUUCAGAGUGGGAGCCUCCAACCAAGGUAACAGAGUUGAGAUCUUUCCUUGGAUUGGCAAAUUAUUAUCGCCGCUUUGUCGAAGGCUACUCCAAAAUUACCACUCCCUUGACGGACAUGUUGAAGAAGGGGAAGGUAUGGGAUUGGAAUCCAGAAUGUGAGAAGGCCUUCAACCAAUUGAAGCAAGAAAUGAUGAGGGAGCCCGUACUUGUCUUGCCGGAUUUUACGAAGCCUUACGAGGUACGUACAGAUGCAUCAGAUUAUGCUAUUGGGGGAGUACUGAUGCAAGAUGGACACCCAAUUGCUUUCGAGAGUCGAAAGCUUAACGAGACGGAACGUAGAUAUACGGUCCAAGAGAAAGAGAUGACUGCGGUAGUACACUGCUUGCACACAUGGAGACAUUAUUUAUUGGGUUCCAGGUUCGUGGUCCUUACCGACAAUGUUGCCAAUAGUUACUUUCUAACCCAGAAAAAGUUGUCUCCCAAGCAGGCUCGUUGGCAGGUUUUACUAGCAGAGUUUGAUUUCACAAUGGAAUAUAAACCAGGAAGUGCCAACAAUGUUGCUGAUGCACUUAGUCGAAAGAUGGAAUUCGCAGCAAUCAGUCAACCUGAUGGCUCUUUGUUGGAACGCAUCCGAGAGGGAUUGUCCCAUGAUCUUACGGCCAAAAAUUUGAUUGAGCUUGCCAAGGAGGGAAAAACAAGAAGAUUUUGGCUUGAUGGGGAGCUAGUAUACACUCAUGAACACCGCCUCUAUGUGCCCCAUUAUGGGAAACUUCGUAAGGAAGUCAUGAAGGAAUGUCAUGACUCGAAAUGGGCAGGCCAUCCAGGGAUGCAUCGCACUUUGGCCCUUUUGGAGGAUCGCUAUUAUUGGCCUCACAUGGGUGCUGAUGUGGAAACCUAUGUGAAAACUUGUCUAGUGUGCCAACAAGACAAGGUUGAGUUAAAGACUCUAGCCGGCUUGCUUCAACCCCUGCCAGUCCCAGAAAGGCCAUGGGAGAGUUUAUCCAUGGAUUUUAUUAUUGGUUUGCCUAAGUCUGACGGGUUUGCUAGUAUUCUUGUUGUGGUGGACAGGUUUUCAAAGUAUGCGACUUUUAUUCCGGCGACCAAAGAGUGCCCUGCUGAGGAAGCAGCUCGGUUAUUCCUUAGACACGUGGUGAAAUAUUGGGGAGUGCCACUAUAUAUUAUCAGCGAUCGAGAUGGUCGAUUUACUGGUCGGUUCUGGACAGAGUUGUUCAAGUCAAUGGGCUCAGAUUUGAACUUCUCCACGAGCAUGCAUCCACAAACCGAUGGGCAAACUGAACGAGUAAAUGCACUGUUGGAGACGUAUCUUCGGCACUAUGUGAGUGCCACACAAAGGGAUUGGCCAAAGUUGCUGGAUGUGGCCCAAUUUUCAUAUAACUUGCAGCAAAGUGGGACCACGAAUCAAAGUCCAUUUGAAAUAGUGACGGGUCAACAGCCACUCACACCCAACGCUGUUGUGACCCAUUACACAGGACCAAAUCCGGCAGCCUAUAGAUUCGCAAAAGAUUGGCAAGAGAAGAAUGACUUGGCUAGAGCUUGUUUACACAAGGCAAGUAAGCGUAGCAAGAAGUGGGCCGAUCAGAACCGAAGGGAUGUACAAUUUCAAGUGGGUGACUCAGUCCUUGCUAAACUACACUUGAUUUUACGAUAUACUGGUUUGCACAAGGGUCUUGUGCGAAGGUAUGAAGGGCCGUUUAAAGUUGUGAAGAGAGUGGGCAAGGUGGCCUACAAGCUGGAGUUGCCACCAAAACUUAAAGUACACCCAGUCUUCCAUGUAAGCAUGCUUAAGCCGUUUCAUGAGGAUCAAGAAGAUCCAAAUCGAGGCAAGUCCGAACGAGCACCGAUGGGGGUAAAAGUCUCGUAUGAUCGUGAAGUAGAAAACAUUGAGGCAGAUCGGGUAAUUAGACGAAAGUACCACCGACCACAGCAUGAGUACUUAGUUCGAUGGAAGGGACUUCCUGAUAGCGAAGCAAGUUGGGAACCUGCUGAGGCAAUGUGGCAGUUCCAAGGGAAGAUUGACCAGUUCCAUAAGGAGGAUGCGACGAGGGCGUCGCUAGAACAAGUGGGGGAGAAUGUCAUGGGUUGCGCGUCGGUGCUCGCAACCAUGACAAACUGGUGCGAUCCAUCGUGUUCGAGGGAGGUCAUUUAGCCCAACCAAACUGGCCCAACCAAACUGGCCCGGUGAUUUGAGAGAUUAAAAGCCCAUCUCAAGAGCCUGAUAGAAAUGGGAAGUGUUCUAGAAGAUAUAAUUAUGGAAUCUUAGAGUUCUAUUUGUAUAUAGCUGGUUAUGUAAGCUU
rnacentral:lncRNA from 1 species